AGCGAACGCUGGCGGCAGGCUUAACACAUGCAAGUCGAGCGGGCACUUUCGGGUGUCAGCGGCGGACGGGUGAGUAACGCGUGGGAACGUGCCCUCUGGUUCGGAAUAACUCAGGGAAACUUGAGCUAAUACCGGAUACGCCCUUUUGGGGAAAGGCUUGCUGCCGGAGGAUCGGCCCGCGUCUGAUUAGCUAGUUGGUGAGGUAACGGCUCACCAAGGCGACGAUCAGUAGCUGGCCUGAGAGGAUGAUCAGCCACACUGGGACUGAGACACGGCCCAGACUCCUACGGGAGGCAGCAGUGGGGAAUAUUGGACAAUGGGCGCAAGCCUGAUCCAGCCAUGCCGCGUGAGUGAUGAAGGCCUUAGGGUUGUAAAGCUCUUUUAUCCGGGACGAUAAUGACGGUACCGGAGGAAUAAGCCCCGGCUAACUUCGUG
rnacentral:rRNA from 1 species